ensembl:lncRNA
AUCCUGGGUGCAGACAUGGCAUCACUCAUAAGGCCAUGUUGAGGCGGCGUCCCGCGUGCCACAACUGGAAGGACCCACAACUAAAAUAUACAGCUAUGUACUGGGGGGGGGUUGGAGAGAAAAAGCAGAAAAAAAAAGAAAAAAAAGAAGAUUGGCAACAGUUGUUAGCUCAGGUGCCAAUCUUUAAAAAAAAAAAAAAAGAUUUGAAAACAAACCCUAACCCUAACCCUAACCACCCCCCCCAUGCCAUUUAUCCCUCCCAUGGGGGGAGGUUUCCCACUAGGGAUAUUUUAUCACCAACGAUUUUUCUGAAUUGCCAGCUUGGGUGAUAGUGAAAAUCGAACUGGCUUUUAGGCAGAUGUAUUAUUAUUUUUUUAAAUAUGCAGAUAAUGUGCCCCGUAUUGCACCUGGGCACAUAAUUUCCAUCACCCACACCUCCCCCAGCUUCGUAUGCCACUGCUUCUGCCACGGGUGCCACUUUCCUUCUUCUUGCUGCCUGUAAUCAAACAGUGAGCUGGAGCUGGAACUGCCAUCUUGCCACCACAAGACAAAAGCUAAAAGAUCACAGACACUACAGCACUGAUAUCCUCAGUCCUCUGAAAUAAUACUGGAAAAAUGCUGUGUGAAAUAGUCCAUUGCAACAAAAUAAUUCAAUUCCUGUAAGCUUUAGAAAAGGAUUGCCAAAGGGAAAGAACCAAAAUUUAAGGAGACUAAGUCUGAUGGAAGGCCUGGAAAAUCCACAAACUGGACAACCAGUGUUGUGUCAUUGAGAUAUGAAGUAUAAUUAUCCUGAAAGUCAGUGUGUGAAGAAUUAAAAGGAGACAUUAUGGCAGUGCAUGUAUUUCAGAGAGCAUAAAUUUUCUGGAAAGACUUAGAAUCAAAGCUGUGUUCUAGUAUUGUCAAACUGCCUUUUAGAAGCAGGAUCGAGGACACUGGUCAUUGAAACUCAAGCUAUUAACAGGAUGACAUCCUCACUCUUACAAUGUCACAGAGCUAAAGUUUUGAUUCACGUCGUGUGCCAGAUACCGGGUCACAUGCUUUCACACACAUGUUUUGCGUGUUCGUUAUAUCGUUUUUUUAGGAUAUGGUGUCAUCUCAUUCUUUCAUGGAGAAGUGUUCUUCUUGCCUGGAAGAUUCCUUGCAUAAACAUGAAAAAUAUAAGAAGAGUGUAAACAUUUUCCAAACCAAGAUGGCAAUAUUUUUCAAUGUGGCGUUAAAGUUUUGUUUUGUCAGUUACUUGACUGUGACAACCAUUCUGCCAUCAAGGCACAUUUGAUCAUCAUUUUGAAAAUAGUAAUGAUCAUAAAUGACCAAACGACUUAGAAAUUUCUUUUAGAAAAUGUCACCCUAAAAAUCUCUCUAAUUGCAAAAUAAGAUACUCAAGAUGGUCUAUGAGACCCCUCAAGACACUAGUGGGAGAUGGGUUAAGGGCAGCAGCAAAAGUGGUAGUAAUAAUAGAAAGUUAAUGAUUUGUUUACAGGCAUAUGAAGUAAAUAUUUAAAAAGCAAACAUAUUACUUUUAAUGUAACUCAGACACGAGUUUAUUGAAUGUUUUCAAAUAAAGGCAAAAUUAACAUAAAUUAAGGCCACACAUUCAAAGAGAAUACAUUAAUGAGUUCACAUGAGCCAAUUACAUUUUAUUCCUAAAAACAUGUACAAAAUCCCCAAAGUCUGAGGAUUUGCCCACUUCUAACUAUAGGAGUCUAACGACCAGCAAGUGCUAAUAAAAAAACACGACUUUCCCUACAGACUCUCAGGAAUUAAUAAAUAAUAUAGUGAAAGUUACUGUGGUCCUGUCUGCAUUAUUUUUUAAUCCUUAUCUAGAAACUACGCAUAUUUUUAAAAAUGAUGCCCCACUUGUGUCUCAUUUUCCUCAAGUUCUC